CAGGGAACAGUAUUGGUGGGACCUACUCCUGUUAAUAUUCUUGGGAGAAACAUAUUGACAGGAUUAGGAUGUACACUAAAUUUCCCUAUAAGUCCCAUAGCCCCAGUGCCAGU
rfam:Human immunodeficiency virus type 1, complete genome.